AUUUAUGUAGUUUAGUAAAAACAUUAUAUUUUCAUUAUAAAAUCAAAAUUUUAUUUUCAUAAAUA
rnacentral:tRNA from 1 species